GGAUUAGAUACCCUGGUAGUCCACGCCCUAAACGUUGAUCACUCGAUGUUGGCGAUAUACUGUCAGCGUCCAAGCUAAAGCGUUAAGUGAUCCACCUGGGGAGUACGUCCGCAAGGAUGAAACUCAAAGGAAUUGACGGGGGCCUGCACAAGCGGUGGAGCAUGUGGUUUAAUUCGAUGAUACGCGAGGAACCUUACCAGGGCUUGAAAGUUAGUGACCGGCUGAGAAAUCAGCCCUUCUUUCGAGACACAAAACUAGGUGCUGCAUGGCUGUCGUCAGCUCGUGCCG
rnacentral:rRNA from 1 species